CAGUCGCCGCGGGAAUACGGAGGGUGCAAGCGUUAAUCGGAAUUACUGGGCGUAAAGCGUGCGUAGGCGGUUCGUUAAGUCUGUUGUGAAAGCCCCGGGCUCAACCUGGGAAUGGCAAUGGAUACUGGCGAGCUAGAGUGUGUCAGAGGAUGGUGGAAUUCCCGGUGUAGCGGUGAAAUGCGUAGAGAUCGGGAGGAACAUCAGUAGCGAAGGCGGCCAUCUGGGACAACACUGACGCUGAGGCACGAAAGCGUGGGGAGCAAACAGGAUUAGAUACCCCAGUAGUCCCUGUCUCUUAUAC
rnacentral:rRNA from 1 species